AACUAACAAGGAUUCCCCUAGUAGCGGCGAGCGAAGCGGGAAAAGCUCAAAUUUGUAAUCUGGCGCCUUCGGCGUCCGAGUUGUAAUCUCGAGAAAUGUUUUCCGUGUUAGACCGCAUACAAGUCUCUUGGAACAGAGCGUCAUAGUGGUGAGAACCCAGUACACGAUGCGGAUGCCUAAUACUUUGUGAUACAUUUUCGAAGAGUCGAGUUGUUUGGGAAUGCAGCUCAAAUUGGGUGGUAAAUUCCAUCUAAAGCUAAAUAUUGGCGAGAGACCGAUAGCGAACAAGUACCGUGAGGGAAAGAUGAAAAGCACUUUGGAAAGAGAGUUAACAGUACGUGAAAUUGUUGGAAGGGAAACACAUGCAGUCAGACUUGCUAUUCGGGGCAACUCGAUUGGCAGGCCCGCAUCAGUUUUUCGGGGCGGAAAAGCAUAGAGAGAAGGUAGCAGUUUCGGCUGUGUUAUAGCUCUUUAUUGGAUUCGCCCUGGGG
rnacentral:rRNA from 1 species